rnacentral:rRNA from 1 species
UAACAAGGAUUCCCUCAGUAACGGCGAGUGAAGCGGGAAGAGCUCAAAUUUGUAAUCUGGCGGUCUCGCGGCCGUCCGAGUUGUAAUCUGGAGAAGCGUUUUCAGUGCCGGCCCGCGUACAAGUCCCCUGGAACGGGGCGUCGUAGAGGGUGAGAAUCCCGUCUCUGACGCGGUAUGCCGGUACGUUGCGAUGCGCUCUCGAAGAGUCGAGUUGUUUGGGAAUGCAGCUCAAAACGGGUGGUAAAUUCCAUCUAAAGCUAAAUACUGGCGAAAGACCGAUAGCGAACAAGUACCGUGAGGGAAAGAUGAAAAGCACUUUGGAAAGAGAGUCAAACAGUACGUGAAAUUGUUGAAAGGGAAACGCUUGAAGUCAGUCGCGUCUCCCGGGACUCAGUCGGUCUUCCCGGCCGACGUAUUUCCCGGGUUCGGACGGGCCAGCGUCGAUUCAGACCGUCGUAAAAAGUCGGAGGGAAAGUGGCACCUUCGGGUGUGUUAUAGCCCCCCGUUCGGUAUGCGACGGCCUGGAUCGAGGGACGCAGCGCGCCCCCCCUCGGGGGGAGCCGGGGUUUUUAACCCACGUAACGCGCUUAGGAUGCUGGCUUAAUGGCUUCAAGCGACCCGUCUU